rnacentral:rRNA from 1 species
GGCAGGCUUAACACAUGCAAGUCGAGCGGGGGAAGGUAGCUUGCUACCGGACCUAGCGGCGGACGGGUGAGUAAUGCUUAGGAAUCUGCCUAUUAGUGGGGGACAACAUCUCGAAAGGGAUGCUAAUACCGCAUACGUCCUACGGGAGAAAGCAGGGGAUCUUCGGACCUUGCGCUAAUAGAUGAGCCUAAGUCGGAUUAGCUAGUUGGUGGGGUAAAGGCCUACCAAGGCGACGAUCUGUAGCGGGUCUGAGAGGAUGAUCCGCCACACUGGGACUGAGACACGGCCCAGACUCCUACGGGAGGCAGCAGUGGGGAAUAUUGGACAAUGGGGGGAACCCUGAUCCGGCCAUGCCGCGUG